UACGUAGGUGGUGAGCGUUGUCCGGAAUCAUUGGGCGUAAAGAGCGCGUAGGCGGUCCGGUAAGUCCGCUCUGAAAGUCCGGGGCUCAACCCCGGAUCUGCCGUGCGGACUGGUUUGCUAGAGCACUGUAGAGGCGAGUGGAAUUCCGGGUGUAGCGGUGGAAUGCGUAGAGAUCCGGAAGAACACCAGUGGCGAAGGCGGCUCGCUGGGCAGUGGCUGACGCUGAGGCGCGACAGCGUGGGGAGCAAACAGG
rnacentral:rRNA from 1 species